GGGGAUCUGUCUCAGUGGUAGGGAGUUUGCCUAGUAAGCACAAGGCCAAGGCUUUGAAUUUGACCCCCA
rnacentral:tRNA from 1 species